UACGUAGGGGCCAAGCGUUGUCCGGAUUUAUUGGGCGUAAAGAGCUCGUAGGCGGUUCGGCAAGUCGAAUGUGAAAUCUCCACGCUCAACGUGGAGGGGUCAUUCGAUACUGCCGUGACUUGAGUACGGUAGGGGAGUGUGGAAUUCCCGGUGUAGCGGUGAAAUGCGCAGAGAUCGGGAGGAACACCCGUAGCGAAGGCGGCACUCUGGGCCGAUCUUGACGCUGAGACGCGAAAGCGUGGGGAGCAAACAGG
rnacentral:rRNA from 1 species